CCCAUCUCAAAAAUGCUCACUUGGUUGAAGAGGAUGAACAUCCUCACUAGAGGAGGACCGUUCUUCAUUGUAGGGUUUAUGAACCACUGCGCACCCUGCGAGAAUCUCUCAACAAGACCUCUCACGAAAUCUGACUGCUCCAAGACCACCAUGCUGGAGAGGUCAUCGGAAGGGCUCAGGU
rnacentral:sRNA from 1 species